rnacentral:rRNA from 1 species
UAGACUUGAAAUCCUACGAAUCCGACGUAAUUGUUGGAGUGCUCGCAAGAGAAUGUAGUGAC